rnacentral:rRNA from 1 species
UAAAUCAGUGAUAAUCUGUUUGAUUUUCUCUCCCAUUGGAUAACCGUGGGAAAUCUAGAGCUAAUACGUGCGGUAUCUUGGCGGACUUUCGGGUUUGUCAAAGCAUUUAUUAGACUAAACCAUCUACUGUGCUUGCACAGUAAGGGGAAUCUGGAUAACUUUGCUGAUCGUAUGGCCUUAGUGCCGGCGACGUUUCAAUUGAGUUUCUGCCCUAUCAACUUGUUGGUAAGGUAUUGGCUUACCAAGGUUGCAACGGGUAACGGGGAAUCAGGGUUCGAUUCCGGAGAGGGAGCCUGAGAAACGGCUACCACAUCCAAGGAAGGCAACAGGCGCGCAAAUUACCCAAUCUAGACAGUAGGAGGUGGUGAAGAGAAUUACUAAGUGGUGGUCUAAUUGAUCACUUGUUUGGAAUGAACGUAACUUAAGAAAUUCGUUGAUAAACAACUGGAGGGCAAGUCCUGGUGCCAGCAGCCGCGGUAAUUCCAGCUCCAGUAGUUUGCUUUAAAGUUGUUGCGUUUAAAACGCUCGUAGUUGGAUCACGCAGYAGUGUUUAGUAAUCUAUGGUGUGAUGCCGAUCGUACAGUACGUCUUCGCACGACUGUCGAGAGAAUUCAACAAUAGAUGUAACCGCUAGACAUUGCUAGUUGCACGUGAGAUAGGUUGUUGGCCUUGAAUGAGCCGAUAAUUUGGUCUUGCGGGGUGUGCCUUGAAUAAAACAGAGUGCUUAAAGCAGGUCGUUGCCUGAAUGUUAUAGCAUGGAACGAACAAUCGUGUAUAUGUGUCCGCUUUCAGAUGGUAGUUGGUUUUUGACUGAUUGUUGUUUGAGACGGGCAUGGCACCCACCAAAGUAUGGCUGUUGGUUCCAUAUUAGGUGAUGAUUAACAGGAGCGGUUGGGGGCAUCAGUAUUUGGCCGCGAGAGGUGAAAUUCUUAGACCGGCCAAGGACUAACAAAUGCAAAGGCACUUGUCUAGACCGUUUCCAUUAAUCAAGAACGAAAGUGGGAGGUUCGAAGACGAUCAGAUACCGUCGUAGUUCCCACCGUAAACUAUGCCGACCUGGGAUCAGUUUAGAGAUGUUACAAGCUCUAGAUUGGUCCCCCUGGGAAACCUGAAGUUUUUCGGUUACGGGGAGAGUAUGGUCGCAAGGCUGAAACUUAAAGGAAUUGACGGAAGGGCACCACCAGGGGUGGAGCCUGCGGCUUAAUUUGACUCAACACGGGGAAACUUACCUGGUCCGGACAUCGAUAGGAUUAUCAGAUCGAUAGCUCUUAUAUGAUACGAUGAGUGGUGGUGCAUGGCCGUUCUUAGUUCGUGGAGUGAUCUGUCAACUUCAUUGUGGUAACGAACGAGACCACAAUCUCCAUUUAAGAGGUGGAAGAAGGCGCCUAGCAAGCGUGAUUUCGGUUGCGAUAGUUAGGUGCUACAGGUAGGGUGAGAUGCCUUAUGGGCGAGUGUGUAGAGGCAACUCUUAUCACAAGCUUUUAGGGUGACUCAUUUCUCCCUUCUAUCACGCAGCAGUUGAUCUUGAUUGGCUGUUGCCUUAUGGAGAGACAACGAGGUAUAAACAAGCUCGAGGAAGAGUGGCUAUAACAGGUCAGUGAUGCCCUUCGAUGUUCAGGGCUGC